rnacentral:rRNA from 1 species
GGAGGCAGCAGUGGGGAAUAUUGCACAAUGGGGGAAACCCUGAUGCAGCCAUGCCGCGUGUGUGAAGAAGGCCUUCGGGUUGUAAAGCACUUUCAGCGAGGAGGAAAGGUUGGCGCCUAAUACGUGUCAACUGUGACGUUACUCGCAGAAGAAGCACCGGCUAACUCCGUGCCAGCAGCCGCGGUAAUACGGAGGGUGCAAGCGUUAAUCGGAAUUACUGGGCGUAAAGCGCACGCAGGCGGUUGGAUAAGUUAGAUGUGAAAGCCCCGGGCUCAACCUGGGAAUUGCAUUUAAAACUGUCCAGCUAGAGUCUUGUAGAGGGGGGUAGAAUUCCAGGUGUAGCGGUGAAAUGCGUAGAGAUCUGGAGGAAUACCGGUGGCGAAGGCGGCCCCCUGGACAAA